CAGUGAGGCAACAGCAGAUACUGAAACUGCAGGUGAAGUCUGAUGGGAGUGUUCUUGAUCCUGAUGUGCAGUCGUCCAUUUUACUGCAGAUCAAGCAGAAGCUGAGAGAAAACGGCAUGUCGGAGAACACCACGGUGACCUGGAGGGUUCAGUCAGACGGAAACAUCUUCUACAAGGAGAAAAAGCGUGGCCCGUAACAUCUAAAUGCUCACUCUGUAGUUAACAGUUACUCCAAAGCUCAAAUAAUGUCAACUACAAUCUAACUGCAAUCUUAAUGAAAAGAAUAGAAAAAUGUUCAAAACAAUUUGACAUUGUAGUAUAGUGUAACCUGUUACGCCUUUCUAAUGGCUCUGUUUGAAUAGAUGGUUUAUACAUAACUACAUUAUUGUGCUGUGAUCAUUAGGAGGUCGGUAGAAUUUUUUUAGCCUGGGUGGGGGACCUGCAAAGUUUGAGAAUGUAAUAAGCAUCAUAUUCAGUUCAAUUAUUAGAAAUGUUUUAUUAAAAAGAUUGUACUAACCGUUAAUGUUCUGUUUACAUCAUUAAAUAAAAUACAUUUUAAUUGA